GAUGUCGGAUAUUGGUUUAAAGGAAGCACCAAUCGUUAAGGUUACCUGACAGAAUUCUGUGAGCUCCAUGGAAGUGAGUAUAUGGAAAUGCUCAUGCACGUUUCCGUUCGAUGGUUGAGCCUGGAGAAAUGUUAUCCUGCAGCAGUAUGAGCCACUGGCCAGCUAAUUGAAGUCAUUAAAUGAUAAACAGCCAAGGUUCAUGAGGCUUAUGGAGGCAUUCUCUGACCCAAUUACAGAGGUGUACCUGCUCUUCUAUCAAGCAACGUUUCCAGUCUUCUCCACCUUCAACCUCCUCCUCCAGAGAGAGAAGUCAUCCAUCUUCCGUCUACAUG